CACUACUUUUCAUUAAUGAAUUUCAACCCUCCCCUUGUUUUCUUGUACAAAGGACGAAGAAGAUAAAGUUGAAAAAGGAUAUAUUUUUUGUUUUUGUUUUUUGUUUCAGUGAACUGCCCAUAAAGCCAACCCAGGGCUCCCAUCUGUGCUCUGGAAAGCUUUCGGUUUGGCGGUGAACAUGUAUACACUGUAUGCUCACAGUUUUGAAUUCAUUUUCUACACACUCUUGGCGGUGGCUCCUGAAUUUCGUUUUCAAUCGUCAUGAAACCCUCUCCCAUCAAUUAUUAUAGAUCUUCAAUUCAGGGAAAAGCCUUUUGAUUUCUCUUACCCCCCUCUGCUGAAAUGCAACAAUUACAUUCUCUAGUUAGGUUUUGGAGAGAGUGAUUCUCAAAUUCCUUGACUCAAUUGAUGGAAGCAUGCCAGCUAUUCGCUAAAAUUCCUAUUGGUGUACUUAUUGAAGACAAAGAAUUUGUGGAUUCGUGUAUGAGAGGAAAGCCUUGGAAGGCAGGAAAAUUUUAUUCGAGUCUUCACGUUACGCUAUGGUCUGAACACCUUCGUCUUCCAGGUGGAGAGGUUUGUACAUCUAUCAAAACAUUUUUUUUUUUUUUUGUCAUAAUGACUAUAGCCAAGCCACUGUUAACGAGCUGCACCUGGAUACUAUAUCGUGACAGUAUUGAUUGGAAAGAUCCCUCUAUUUUUCAUUUUCUAUUUUGAAUUGACAACUUAUUAGGCUGUCAUUCGGCAUAAUCCAAAUUUCAUUGGCCAUUUAAUAACCACCAAGAAAAAAUAUAAACUAAGAAAAUCACUUGUCAGACUUUGUUUAACAUAAUAAAAUAUUGUUAUUUGUGUUUUCAAUAAUUUCCUCUCUUUUUUUU